rnacentral:rRNA from 1 species
AGUGAACGCUGGCGGUAGGCCUAACACAUGCAAGUCGAACGGCAGCACAGUAAGAGCUUGCUCUUACGGGUGGCGAGUGGCGGACGGGUGAGGAAUACAUCGGAAUCUACUUUUUCGUGGGGGACAACGUAGGGAAACUUACGCUAAUACCGCAUACGACCUACGGGUGAAAGCAGGGGAUCUUCGGACCUUGCGCGAUUGAAUGAGCCGAUGUCGGAUUAGCUAGUUGGCGGGGUAAAGGCCCACCAAGGCGACGAUCCGUAGCUGGUCUGGGAGGAUGAUCAGCCACACUGGAACUGAGACACGGUCCAGACUCCUACGGGAGGCAGCAGUGGGGAAUAUUGGACAAUGGGCGCAAGCCUGAUCCAGCCAUACCGCGUGGGUGAAGAAGGCCUUCGGGUUGUAAAGCCCUUUUGUUGGGAAAGAAAAGCAGCAGGUUAAUACCCCGCUGUUCUGACGGUACCCAAAGAAUAAGCACCGGCUAACUUCGUG